AGUGAACGCUGGCGGUAGGCCUAACACAUGCAAGUCGAACGGCAGCACAGUAAGAGCUUGCUCUUACGGGUGGCGAGUGGCGGACGGGUGAGGAAUGCAUCGGAAUCUACUUUUUCGUGGGGGAUAACGUAGGGAAACUUACGCUAAUACCGCAUACGACCUACGGGUGAAAGCAGGGGAUCUUCGGACCUUGCGCGAUUGAAUGAGCCGAUGUCGGAUUAGCUAGUUGGCGGGGUAAAGGCCCACCAAGGCGACGAUCCGUAGCUGGUCUGAGAGGAUGAUCAGCCACACUGGAACUGAGACACGGUCCAGACUCCUACGGGAGGCAGCAGUGGGGAAUAUUGGACAAUGGGCGCAAGCCUGAUCCAGCCAUACCGCGUGGGUGAAGAAGGCCUUCGGGCUGUAAAGCCCUUUUGUUGGGAAAGAAAAGCAGCAGGUUAAUACCCCGCUGUUCUGACGGUACCCAAAGAAUAAGCACCGGCUAACUUCGUG
rnacentral:rRNA from 1 species